rnacentral:rRNA from 1 species
CCUACGGGAGGCAGCAGUGGGGAAUAUUGGACAAUGGGCGAAAGCCUGAUCCAGCAAUGCCGCGUGAGUGAUGAAGGCCUUAGGGUUGUAAAGCUCUUUCACCGGGGAAGACGAUGACGGUACCCGGAGAAGAAGCCCCGGCUAACUUCGUGCCAGCAGCCGCGGUAAUACGAAGGGGGCUAGCGUUGUUCGGAAUUACUGGGCGUAAAGCGCGCGUAGGCGGUUAGCCAAGUCGGGGGUGAAAGCCCGGAGCUCAACUCCGGAACUGCCUCCGAGACUGGCUGGCUUGAGUGUGGAAGAGGGUCGUGGAAUUCCCAGUGUAGAGGUGAAAUUCGUAGAUAUUGGGAAGAACACCAGUGGCGAAGGCGGCGACCUGGUCCAUAACUGACGCUGAGGCGCGAUAGCGUGGGGAGCAAACAGGAUUAGAUACCCUUGUAGUC